rnacentral:rRNA from 1 species
UAGGGAAUCUUCCGCAAUGGACGCAAGUCUGACGGAGCAACGCCGCGUGAGUGAAGAAGGAUUUCGGUUCGUAAAACUCUGUUGUUAGAGAAGAACAGCGCAUAGAGUAACUGUUAUGCGUGUGACGGUAUCUAACCAGAAAGCCACGGCUAACUACGUGCCAGCAGCCGCGGUAAUACGUAGGUGGCAAGCGUUGUCCGGAUUUAUUGGGCGUAAAGCGAGCGCAGGCGGUUAGAUAAGUCUGAAGUUAAAGGCAGUGGCUCAACCAUUGUAGGCUUUGGAAACUGUUUAACUUGAGUGCAGAAGGGGAGAGUGGAAUUCCAUGUGUAGCGGUGAAAUGCGUAGAUAUAUGGAGGAACACCGGUGGCGCAAGCGGCUCUCUGGUCUGUAACUGACGCUGAGGCUCGAAAGCGUGGGGAGCGAACAGG